GGAUUGGUUUUGCUCAUAGAUGCAAUUGAAAAGGCCGGUUACACUGGGAAGAUCAAAAUAGGAAUGGAUGUUGCAGCUUCAGAGUUCUUCACUAAAGAGGGAAAAUAUGAUCUGAACUUCAAGAAACAGCCAAAUGAUGGAGCUCAUGUUCACUCAGCUCAUGGCCUUGGCGAACUCUAUAAACAGUUUGUCAAAGAUUUUCCCAUUGUUUCCAUCGAGGACCCCUUUGAUCAAGAUGAUUGGAGCUCUUGGGCUUCUCUACAAUCUUCUGUUGAUAUCCAACUUGUGGGAGAUGACUUGCUUGUAA
rnacentral:misc_RNA from 1 species